rnacentral:lncRNA from 1 species
GUCGCACAUUUAACCCCUGUAGCAGAUGGAUCCUCACAAAGAUGUCUUGCACUGUCCAGUAGUGAAUCCUCAAAUUUAAAAAAAUAAUAAUUUCCAUCUAGGACAAAGAACAGGAACUGGAGCAGUUGACUAAGGAGUUGCGGCAAGUCAAUCUCCAGCAGUUCAUCCAGCAGACUGGGACAAAAGUUACCGUUUUGCCAGCGGAGCCCAUUGAAAUAGAGGCCUCACAUGCAGACAUUGAAAGGGGGAUCAUCAUUCUUUCUGAUAAGCAGGAGUGUAAAGAUUAGAUAUCACACCAAAAGCUCAGGCAAGAAAAGCAAAAAUGAACAAGUGGGACUACAUCAAACCCAAAACUCCUGCACAACAAAGGAAACGAUCACCAAAAUGAAAAGGUGGAUCGUAGAUUGGGAGAAAAU